UGGAAAGUAUGGAACUGUUUUGGACAGUGGUACAACAUUUGCGUAUCUACCAGAAGCAGCAUUUUUGGCAUUUAAGAAGCUAUCUUUAAAGAACUUAAUAGCUUGAAGCAGGUCCAUGGCCCUGAUCCAAAUUACAAUGAUAUAUGCUUCUCUACUUCGUGAUGUCUCUGAACUCUCAAAAACAUUUCCAAAAGUUGAAAUGGUAUUUGGACGUCAGCAAAAAUUAGCGCUAUCACCUGAGAAUUACUU